UACGUAGGGUGCGAGCGUUGUCCGGAAUUAUUGGGCGUAAAGAGCUUGUAGGCGGUUUGUCGCGUCUGCCGUGAAAAUUCGAGGCUCAACCUCGAACUUGCGGUGGGUACGGGCAGACUAGAGUGUGGUAGGGGGAGACUGGAAUUCCUGGUGUAGCGGUGAAAUGCGCAGAUAUCAGGAGGAACACCGAUGGCGAAGGCAGGUCUCUGGGCCGUAACUGACGCUGAGGAGCGAAAGCGUGGGGAGCGAACAGG
rnacentral:rRNA from 1 species